AUCACGCGGCGGAAGUAGUGCUUGGGCUCGGAGGUGGCGGCAGGCACCUCCUCCAGGUGCGCGUGGUUGUGCAGCAGGCGGCGGUGGUGGUGGUGAUGAUGGCCGGCGUCCGCGUGGGCAGCAUCGGUCUGUAGCAAUGAUGAGAUGGACACAGCGUUGCGUUUAGCCGGGAACAACCCUGGGUACCAGAAAGGCGUGUGCGGACCCAGAGGCGGCAAGGUGCGCGCCCUCACGCAAAGGCUCGCCCAACCAAUAAUGGAGCAAAUCCCUGAAGGGCUCCUCCAAACCUGCGAGCCUGCGUCCCCACAGCUGUCGCCCCCAUAUCUUACCUCCGUGGAGUUGCACUCCUUCUCGCCCACAGCCAGGCGGUAGCGGUUCCACUGGCCGAAGCUGAUGCGCUGCGGCUGGGUCAUGACGUGCCACAGCAGGCCCUCGCUGCAGGGCGGGGUGGUGAGGCUGCCCUCGUAGGUGACGUAGUCGCGGUCGCUGGGCAGCAGCUCACCCAGCUUGAUGGUGGUGCCCGCCGGCAGGUUGGUGAAGGUGCCCUCGCGCGUGGGCAUGUUCGCAAAGAUGGCUGCAGAGGACGGGUCGAUGAAGUGUGGAGAUCAGUCAACGUGCAAACGAGCAUGUAAGGGCACAACAGAGGAUGAAAUAGAGGCACUGGAUCAGGCACCUCCUGAGAAGCGCUCAGCGGUCCUCCUGAGAAGCGCUCAUAAGGCAUGCACGUGCGUACCGAUUCCACACAAACUGUGACAGCUUCGCACAAACCCGCCCCCGCCCCGCCUCCACCGCCCCGCCUCUGCUGCCCGACUCACGCUCAAGCAGCUCGUUAUCGGGGCCGUUGUCGAGCUGGAACAGGAUGCCGGUGACGCUGAAGCAGCCGCCCUUGCAGGCCUCUAGCUUGUCAGUCACCUUGUGCACAAUGUGCAACUCAAGAGGAAAGAUCUUGCCUGCAGGCGGUAGACGUAACGAAGGAGGACACCAGCGGAUGUUUUAUGACACGCGGAAGGCAGGUGCUUGCUUGAUACCUGGUGGGACCUUAUCGCUUUAUGGGAGCCGAAUGCUUGAAACACCCCUCCCAACACCUGGCCCUGUCAGAAGUCACGAGUUACGACCACGCCCACGCACCCGCCAGCAGGUGCUCCGAGGUGGAGUGGAAGUGGAACUGGGUGGGCACGGCAGUCACGCGGUCGGAGGCGUCGUUGGGGCGCAUCUCCAGCACGUCCACGAUGCGGUUGCUCUGGUUGCGCAUGGCUGCGAGCACGUGGGAGGACGGGCAUGGGGGGCGAGAAGAGGUCAAGACGGUACGUGGAUAUGCCUAUCUGGGAAGCACUAACACUUGUAAGCAUCAAGGACCGAUGUCGUCAUGGGAAGAAAAGGGGCCAGUGAUUGCGGAUUGGGUUGUCGACAGGGCCUGCACUGGCGUAAUGCGGUAGAUGCAGCACCAGCUGACGCACCAGGGAUGGCGAUGGUGGCAUGGCCGGCGUAGUCGUAGGUCCACUGCACCUGGAUGGUGUGGCCUGAGAGCAGGAUGGAGUGGCGGGAUGGAGGCAGGCAGGCAAAAUGCUUCAGUCAGGUUUAGCGGAAACACCACGUGCUUGCAUGGAUUGGGUCUGGUGCUUGAAUCCUUGACACAACAGACCCCAAGCGCCGUGGUGUCUCAGCUACCGCACAAGGCGGGGUGACCAAGCGUGCUCGCACUCCACGCUACCGGCUUGUGGACUGCGUCCCUUUUGUAGCAAAUGCAACUAAACGGCUUGGCGCCAUGAAUCCUUUCUGUGCGGUCCGCCGCGUUGCAAAAGCCCACCGGCCACCUUGCCGUCUCUCUCGCACCGUUGUUGAUGACUUGAACCGAGCUGCCGUUGGACAUCAGGUCAGGGUACGACCACUGCAGUAUUAAUAAGGCAGGGAAAGAGAAUGGAGAGUAACGGGGCCUUAAAAACCCGCUGUCAAUCUGGCUGGCGUUGCGGCACAAAACCGGCCGUUGAUCGCAAUCAGGAGGUUCGCACCAGCAAAACCGGGCCACCCAACCAUGGAAACCCUGAUGCCUCCCAUGUUAGGAUGCUUGAAACCAUUGCCCCUGCUCCAGUCUACGCGCAAGCACGCUUCGGGGCGCAAGCCAGGCGGUUAAGUUGGAUGGCGCCGUGACAGGCACACACCCUCGCACACGCGGCGCAAGGCGGCGCACUACGCUGGCCUGUUGUGUCAUGCUGGCUACUCACCUGGGUCUGCAGGCCGGUGGCAAUCUUGGAACCCUUCCCGUCCAGGACAUGGUACUGGGGCACGUUGAUGGGCGACUGCGCGUGCGGUUGCGGGGGAGGAAGGGGCGGGAGCGAAUUCGAGGGCAACCUCCCAGAAAGUUCACGUGACAAUGCCCAGUCGGCAGAAACUCUCAACAUGUAUUGUUACGGACCUGCUUGCGGCCAGUCUUGCAGACCCAGGGGUUGCCCGCGCCGUCCUUGCCCUCCCUGCGUGCGAUGGCGAAAAAAGUCCGUUUGGUCUCUCAUGGCCUCGCCGCGAUCCCGCGCAACCAACGCAAGCGCCUAGCGCCGCACUAAUAAUUCAGGGGUGCAAAGCAGUGGGUGCCGGACGGCGGCCACAAGUCACUCCAUUCAUGUGAGCAGGCCAGGUCCUUACCAGUUCUCGCCAUUGAGACUAUGAUCCCAGUGGUCGCCUGUGUGAGUGGCCUGUCAAACAAAAGCGAGGGCGCAAGCGGCGGUCAGGACUCACCCAAGCAACGGGCAUGCCUGCCCGAAGCUGCGCAGAAUGCCGACUAGUAGUAAUACCCAUGGAUAUGACUUCAUUUGCAGCCGGAAACGAGCAGUUGAAUGCUCAGUGACGCAGUCGCGGUGAGACAUUCACGUUUAUGCCAAACGGCAACCAGGGGCCAAAACAACAUCCUCGUUCCAACUCGCACUUGAUCAUUGCGAGACAUGCAGCUUCGGACGUGCGCACCUUGGAGUCCGGCGACGUGCCGAACUUGUAGAUGCAAGCCUGCGCGCAGCCCGCAAGCGCCAGCGCGGCCAGGAGUAGAGCGCCAGUACGCGCCAUGGUGUUCAAUUGAUCAAUUGUAGUAACAAACUAUCCCAAAUUGCCCUACGAAGCAUGCUUUUAUCGCGCCGAAAAGCGUGGCAUCAAGCCGUACUUUCAUCGUCAGCGCGCCAGGAUUGCCAGCCAGCAAGCUUUACAACAGACAUAUAUACAAACCAGUUGUUUGUCGCGGACGUGGGCGAGCCGCUGCAUCUGAAGCCGCGCCGCUCUGCAGCUUGGAGCGGGCCGUUGUCUGCCAUCAGAUUGCAUGAGUCACACGAGGAAGUUUCAUGUGAGCGCCUGUCGGGCUCCGUGCGUUUGGGCUUCGACUCGCUGCAUGUCUGCGCCUUGCCCCCGCCUCCAGCUGUCUCCAGCCCCCCUCCCCCCGGCCCCCGCUCCCCUGGAGCUCCCCUUUCGGCAAUAACCAUGGCUGGCCUCGGACGACGACUGUCAGCCUUGCUCUGCGGUUGCCUCUGGUGCUCAUCCGUGGAUGCUGGUCACCUUCCUGCAGGUGCGCUGCGACUCUGCUUACUUCACGAGUGGGGCGUUGCGAUGCGUAUGUCUGGUGCUAUCGCCUGGUUGGGCGCCCAAAGCGUGAGGAAUGCGCGUCAGCAAACUUCCAGCCAGCCAGCAACUUGUCGGUACAGUAAGCCCAGCGUUCGGCCAGCCGCGCGCUCAUGCAAAUUGUUUACCAUCUGCUGGGUCUGGGAAAUCAGCUGCACCCUACAUGACUUCACCAACCUGGCUUAACACCGUCCCAUCGCACACGCUUUCGGCAACAAGCAUAUCCGCAUGGCCAGAGGCUGCCGUUCACAUUCCCACUGCUUGAUCUUGCCGUGUGAUGUGACAUUACUUGACGGGACUGUGGCGGGUGCUCCCAUCAAAACCCGUGCCGAGAGCCCUAAGCAGUUUAUGGCUAGUCACCAAGUCCUCUUACCGGAGUUGCUGCGACAGGGACAGUCCGACCACCAAAAGUGCGUCAUUGAGGCAGAACGAAAAGCGUGAACACAAGCAGCGACAGCAGCUCCUUGUACCGUUGACAUAACGGCGUGCCAGGCGUCGCGGCAAUCCACGGCCCAAAGCUCGGGACACACAGUGUGUGGCGUUGCGGUGUGUGUGUGUGUGUGUGUGUGUGUGUGUGUGUGUGUGUGUGUGUGUGUGUGUGUGUAUGUGUGUGUGUGUGUGUGUGUGUGUGUGUGUGUGUGUGUGUGUGUGUGUGUGUGUGUGUGUUGCUAUCCCCUGGCGAUGAGGUAGACACUUGCGGCCUCAGACGGGAGGCGUGACUUGUGCCCACUUUUGGGGCGCAGCCCACGUUUUCCCUUUGCGAGGGACACCCAGGGCCUUUUUUGUCCAUGGGCAUCUUACAUGUCGUACACGUCUCUGCCUCAACUGCACCGUUGUAGCUACCUCGCUCCCCACAUCCUGCACGUCUUAAAACAUCCGGUCAGCGUCUCCUGUCCUCCAUCUCCAAGAAAACAAUGCUUCACAUUCGACAUGGCUAUGGGAUUGCCCAGCCAGGCCUUGCAGCUACUGGAGAGCAACUGCAUUGAUCGGCAUGUGCGACGGCGCGCAUGAGGCCAGCCCGCCAACAACCCAGCCAGCCAGACAGAGGCCGGACCGUGCAUGCUGGCAACCAUACCGUGCUGAAGCGCCCCACACCAGCCUUAUAUAACUUGCAUAAGUACGGAUCACUCAUCGAGGAGAACCGGUGCCUCCCCUGUACGCAAAUGUCUCGCGUGCAGACACUCUCGAUUGCUGUCGAAGUUCCCGUUAUUACCCGCGUACGCCCUCUACGUACGUAUUACUUGCCUCACUACCAUCCAUCGCCACAACGUCCGGCCCACUGACUUUAUUCCGCUCUCAGACUGCCCCAUCGUGGAACCAACUCCAUACCUUCCUUACUUCUUUACUAGUCAGGAGAAAACAGGAGGUCCCGCCGCCCGUCCGGUACUGUGUGUAUGCGUGCUGCACCGCAGAACUAUUUCGGUGUACUAUGGAAAAAAUUGGAAAGGCCCGCCAAGCGCGGGUCGUCAAGAACACCAUCGAAUGACACACCAAACCGUGAAGCAAAGCCUGGAAAAUGGAAUGCCUGCUGGCCGUGCCGACGGUGGUAGCGUGACUAACUACUGGGAAGUUUAGUGAUAGCGGGCCAGCUUGAUGGUGCGGCCGUUGGCGUACUGGGGGUUGCGGAAGUUCUGGCCAAAGGCAACGGCCUUGCAGGUGUCUGUCGCAUUGGGGGGGAGGCAAAGAGGGAGGCAAUAAGGUCGGGGUUAGGGGGCGUUACAAAAGAAACACGGCGCGCAGGCGCGCAGGCACACGCAGGAGUGGACGACCACGUGCACGGACUUGCUUGGCAGCAGCUCGGACCGACUAUUGGGCAGACGCAAUCCAAUGGAACUCAGCACGCAUGACUCGGUGUCUCCCCUUGGGGGAGCCUUUGGGAUACCGCGCCCUCGCCCAGCUUCUAGGGUACAAUGCAUGCCGGUACUCCCUUUUUACCACUCUCAGGUAAACUCACAGGCAUCGGGGUUCGCGGACUCGGCCAGCAUCACGCGGCGGAAGUAGUGCUUGGGCUCGGAGGUGGCGGCAGGCACCUCCUCCAGGUGCGCGUGGUUGUGCAGCAGGCGGCGGUGGUGGUGGUGGUGGCCGGCGUCCGCGGCGGUCUGCACGCGUGGUAAAUGAACAUGGGCAGCACAUAGGCGUGCGUGACAGGAGCACUGACCAGUGACGCAGAUUUGACCCGGCAGCCGCCACCGUCACCCGACACCUCGCUCUUCUUGCCCGUUCCCAGGACUCCCCCGUUUGUAGGGGCGUCUUACCUCCGUGGAGUUGCACUCCUUCAGGCCCACAGCCAGGCGGUAGCGGUUCCACUGGCCGAAGCUGAUGCGCUGCGGCUGGGUCAUGACGUGCCACAGCAGGCCCUCGCUGCAGGGCGGGGUGGUGAGGCUGCCCUCGUACGUUACGUAGUCGCGGUCGCUGGGCAGCAGCUCACCCAGCUUGAUGGUGGUGCCCGCCGGCAGGUUGCUGAAGGUGCCCUCGCGCGAGGGCAUGUUCGCAAAGAUGGCUGCAGAGGACGGGCCGAUGAAGUGUGGCGAUCAGUAAACGUGCAAACGAGCAUGUAAGGGCACAACAGAGGAUGAAAUAGAGGCACUGGAUGAGGCACCUCCUGAGAAGCGCUCAGCGGUCUGCCAUGCACGUACGUACCAAAUCCACACAAACCGUGACAGCUUCGUACAAACCCGCCCCCGCCCCGCCUCCACCACCCCGCCCCUGCUGCCCGACUCACGCUCAAGCAGCUCGUUAUCGGGGCCGUUGUCGAGCUGGAACAGGAUGCCGGUGACGCUGAAGCAGCCGCCCUUGCAGGCCUCCAGCUUCUCAGUCACCUGGUGCACAAUGUGCAACUCAAGGGGAUAGAUCUUGCCUGUAGGCGGUAGACGUAACGAAGGAAAGGCACCAGCGGAUGUGUUGUGUGCGGAAGGCAGGUGCUAGGUGGGGUGGGGGUUGGGACUUGUGGGACCUUUCGUUUGGUUGGAGCCCAUUGCCUACUUAGAGCUUUACACCUCUCCCAACACCCUUCUCAACACCCGCCCCUGUCAAAAGUCAAGAGUUGCGCCCACGCCCACGCACCCGCCAGCAGGUGCUCCGAGGUGGAGUGGAAGUGGAACUGGGUGGGCACGGCAGUCACGCGGUCGGCGGCGUCGUUGGGGCGCAUCUCCAGCACGUCCACGAUGCGGUUGGUCUGGUUGUGCAUGGCUGCGAGCACGUGGGAGGAGAAGGAGGAGGUUACCAAUGACGUGAGACAAGAUACGCGGCGUUGGCACGCUAUGGUACCGAAUAGAUAGGAGAUGCAGAGAUGCAGCACCAGCUGACGCACCAGGGAUGGCGAUGGUGGCAUGGCCGGCGUAGUUGUAAGUCCACUGCACCUGGAUGGUGUGGCCUGAGGAUAGGGGUGGCGGGAUGGAGGCAGGCAGGAUUUGGUGAGGUUACCGACCGUAGAAAACCACCGCAGUGUCCCAGAUACUGCAACAAACUUCUUCGCCCCACAACGCCUGCAAGAAACCAAGGCACCCAGAUGCAUGACUGCGCACAAGGCUGGGUUACUAAGCGUGCUCGCACUCCACGCUACCGGCUCGUGAACUGCGUCAGCUGGCAGGUCCCUUCCGUAGCAAAUGCAAUCUAAACUGCUUGGCGCUAUGAAUCCUUCUGUGCGGUCCGCCGCGUUGCAAAACCCAUCCAGCCACAUCGCCUCGCUCUCACCGUUGUUGAUGACUUGGACCGAGGUGCCGUUGGACAUCAGGUCAGGGUACGACCACUGCAGUAUGAACAAGGCAGGGAAAGAGGAGGGAGGUUAAAGUGGCCAGUGAAACCCGCUGGCAAUCUGGCCGGCGUUGCGCGGUACAAAACCGGUGGUUAAUCGCAAUCAGGCGGCUCGCCCCGGCAAAAUAAACCGGGCCAUCCAACCAUGGAAACCCUGACUCCUCCCAUGUUAGGGUGCUUGAACCCUUGCCCGUGCUCCAGUCUCCGCGCAAGCGCCCUUCCGGGGCGCUGGCGGGCCGGUUAGGUUGGAUGGCGCCGUGACAGCACACGUGGCGCGACACGCUGCCUCCCAC
rnacentral:lncRNA from 1 species